rnacentral:rRNA from 1 species
UACGUAGGGGGCGAGCGUUGUCCGGAUUUAUUGGGCGUAAAGAGCUCGUAGGCGGUUCGGUAAGUCGGAUGUGAAAUCUCCACGCUCAACGUGGAGGGGCCAUUCGAUACUGCCGUGACUCGAGUCCGGUAGGGGAGUGUGGAAUUCCCGGUGUAGCGGUGAAAUGCGCAGAGAUCGGGAGGAACACCAGUGGCGAAGGCGGCUUUCUGGCCUGUUCUUGACGCUGAGGCGCGAAAGCUAGGGGAGCGAACGGG